rnacentral:rRNA from 2 species
UACGUAGGGGGCAAGCGUUGUCCGGAAUCAUUGGGCGUAAAGAGCGUGUAGGCGGCCAGAUAAGUCCGCUGUGAAAUCUCGAGGCUCAACUUCGAGCUGUCGGUGGAAACUGUCUGGCUAGAGUCCGGAAGAGGAGAAUGGAAUUCCUGGUGUAGCGGUGAAAUGCGCAGAUAUCAGGAAGAACACCCGUGGCGAAGGCGGUUCUCUGGGACGGUACUGACGCUGAGACGCGAAAGCGUGGGGAGCGAACAGG